GGUCUCUUCCAACUCUACGAUUCUAUGAUUCUAUGACCUGUAAUGCAACUUUUUCUUUUCUCCUACUGUCCUUCAUUUUCCUCAGCAUUAUUAUCUUUUCAAUGAGACAUAUUAUCUCAGGGUGUGCCCAAAGUAUGAAUGUCUGAUUGGUCAUUUUGACUUCUAGGUUACUCACACUAUUGCCUCAGCCUUAUCACAUGAUAUUGCUGGUCUCUGGGGAUUGUUGUAUUGCUGGGUCACUGAAACAUCUUUUACCACCAUUUGGAAAAUAUGUUAAUCCUUUUCCUGCAACAAUUCAAUAACCAGUCAGGGUGUAAAUGUCUCACAAAACUUUCUUCUGUGGUCAUGGUGUGGGUAUGGCCAGGUUGUCUUCCCCUCAAGAAUUCCCAAAGUAAACUCUGUCAGAGAAGCCCCAAACCACUUCUGGUUCUCAGAUGGGGAUGGUGGCUUUUCUAGUAUGUUUAAACCCCUCUUAACACAUUCUUCUAUUUUUUUUUCUUUUUUGGUUUUGUUUGCUUUUAUAGCAUAAUUCCAUGAUAACCAGUUCCAUUGCAAAACAGCAGUUGCUUUUCUCUCUGCAAUAGAAAGGACCGUGUCAUCUUUCUGUUAAAAGAAAUCUUCUGAUUAAAAAAAUCAGCAGUCACAUAGGGCUUUAUGAUGUCACAAUACAGUCAUAGUGUCAUGACACUCUCAUGACAUUUUUUGUGUUAUUAGGUAUACACACACACACACACAUAUACAUGGAUGACCUUAUCUUGAAGUAAGAUGCAGAAUAUAGGAAUUGGUAAUGAAUGUGGAUAAAAAAACAUUAAUGUGGAUUUAAAAACCACACAAGGGAUGCUAUUAAAGCAUGGAUGGAGCAAGGAUGCGAUGGAGAGCACUGCUACCCUUAUGACAAAGUCUGGAGCAGACUUCACACAGACCAACUUGGCAUAAAGGUGGGGAAGCAGCAUAGUGCAAGGGAGCAACUCCGCAACCCUCCUGGAAGUGCAGCCCUGAAAGGCCAAGGCAUUGCAGUCACACAAUACUAGCAGUGGUGCAAAGAGGAGGGGCACAAUCCCGAUCAACAGGAGGGAAGAUCUGCAUUUCGGAGUACUGCUGGCAUGGCUAAAGAUUCAGUCCUGAAGUUUAGAAGGCACUCAAAGCAGCUAACAACAACAUGACAUAUUAUGAUUUAAGAAGAAGGCAAAUACAAAAAUCAAAACAUUUGUGUCAUAGAUACAAAAGUUAAAAUAUACUUAAAAUACAAUUAAAAUUACAUUUAAAAGUUAAACACCCUGUGGCACCCUAGCUGUUGAGUAGACUCCAACACUCAUUUCAUUUUGAUGUGAAACAAAAGCAUGGCUUAAAAAAAAGCCUUGGGGAACCAAUUGAUUUUAUCUGGUUCUACCCUGUACAUGGUUUUAAAUUGUUUUAACUGGUUUUAAAUUGACUUGUGUUAACCUGUUAAAUUGUUUAACAUGCUUUUAGCCUCUUUAAAUCAUUUUUACUCUUUUUAAGUUGUUUUAAAUUGAUUGAAUUGAUUUUAUUCUACAUUACCCUGAGGCACCAUGAUAUGGAUGGAAUAGGAAUACUUUAGAAGUUAUUAAUAAAAUAAUAUUUGGUUACAUUUUUUAUUUUACAUUGCAUUGCUUCAUGUUAAAGGUGUUUUGAAAUAUAUAAUGUUAUCUG